GCGGCGCUAGAGCAGGCGAGAUGACGGGGCUAGAGUGGCCGGUCCGACCCGCCGCCCGGCCGGAAGUGCCUGGUAGGGUCCCCGCUGGCGUUACGAAGUUCCGGCUCGGGUAGCUGAGCUCGAGCUCGUACGUAGGCCGCUUUGAAGCCGCGGCGAAGUGCAGUGGAGCUGCUCAGGAUGGUCACGGACGUGCAGCUCGCCAUAUUUGCCAACAUGCUGGGCGUGUCGCUCUUCUUGCUUGUCGUUCUCUAUCACUACGUGGCUGUCAACAAUCCCAAGAAACAGGAAUGAAAGUGGCGCUUUCUCUGCCCCAGGGUUCCAGGACAUAGUCUGAGGCCAGAUGGAGGGAGUGAGGGGCCUUCACACUUCACCUCAUCCCUUCUGCCCAUCACAACAUACAAAGCAACUACACCCGGAUUUUUCCAAACAAGUUUUAUUUCCUCAAAGUCUUCUUAACCUUAUGGAACGAGAAGCUGUCACUGAAUAGGGUCCAGUAUGGGGGCUGCUUUCUUUUCUACUCUCUCCCCCCAAAUACAAAAAUAUAGAUAUAUAUA